GUCUCGCAGACCCUCCAGCCCACAGAUUGAAACAAUACUACCAGGACAUGUAGAAUAAUAACAAUAUUUAUUCUGUAUUUUUGUCUUCUUAGAAUGGAUUGACCACUGAUUCAGAAGCAAAGAACUACUGAGAUAUGGCCCUGGCUUCUCACUCAGUUGGAUACGAUUUGUUUCUUGUUGAAGAAGAAACAGCAUGAAGCAUGAGAUAAAGCAGAGGCAUGAGAUGUCUAUGUGAAGACUGAACAAGUGACCAAAACCCCAAUGUCCUGAUGGCAGCAAGCUUUAUUUUUGCAGUCUGUGCCACAAAUGUAAACUACUAAUAGGUUAGGU
rnacentral:lncRNA from 1 species